AGCAGCCGCGGUAAUUCCAGCUCCAAUAGCGUAUAUUAAAGUUGUUGCAGUUAAAAAGCUCGUAGUUGAAUUUCGGGAUUGACACAUCGGUCGUGCCUUAAGGGGUAUGAACUGGUGUAGUCAAUUUCUCACCUUCUGGGGAACCGCGAUGCCCUUAAUUGGGUGUCGCGGGGAACCAGGACCUUUACUUUGAAAAAAUUAGAGUGUUUAUAGCAGGCAUUUUGCUUGAAUACAUUAGCAUGGAAUAAUAAAAUAGGACGGCAUGAUUCUAUUUUGUUGGUUUCUAGGAUCACCGUAAUGAUUAAUAGGGAUAGUUGGGGGCAUUAGUAUUCAAUUGUCAGAGGUGAAAUUCUUGGAUUUAUUGAAGACUAACUACUGCGAAAGCAUUUGCCAAGGAUGUUUUCAUUAAUCAAGAACGAAAGUUAGGGGAUCGAAGACGAUCAGAUACCGUCGUAGUCUUAACCAUAAACUAUGCCGACUAGGAAUCAGACGAUGUUAAUUUUUUAAUGACUCGUUUGGU
rnacentral:misc_RNA from 1 species